GGCGUUUACAAGAAAUAACAGAAGUUAGGUUCCGGUCUUGCUCGUGAAAUCAUGGAGUUUAGUUUUGCUGAUGUGGCUUCCGUGGUUUUGUCUGCUCCGGGAUAUGCUCCAGUCUGGUCUCCCUUUCUCCUGUCCAGAUUUAUGGUUGUUUUUUGGGGGGAAGGAUUUAUUCUCCUCACUCAGCCAUGAUCCACAGCCCUUCCUUCCUUCUGACUUUCAGAACCAUCCUUCUUGCCUCCUGCUGUCACGUGGGUUUGGUGGCUAUGUCUCCUAGUGCCCCUUCUGGUGUGGAGACAUUCUUCUACUCCUGGCCCUCCUCCUUCUCGAGUUGUCCCCAAGAGCCAGAUGUAUUUCCAGGUCAUUUGCUGCUCGUGAUCAGGUCGGUCCUGUGCUAACCAUAGACUCUGCCCCAUGUUCUUCGGUUUCCAAAUUUCCCUCCAAGACAUCUUUUCUGCUUCCUUCCUUCAUGGAUCGUUCCCUCAUGUGUCUUUACUUAGAGAGGGUUUAAUUAGCAACCCCCUGUCACUUCACCUCUGCAUGUAACUUUCUCUCCGUAUCUGCCAACAUUAUCAACACCAGCACAGCUGAAGAAUAACUCAAUUAUACAUUUGCUUAUAAAAUUUUUUAAUGUUUAUUAUUGAGAGAGAGAGAGAAAGCAUGAGUCGGGGAGGAGCAGAGAGAGAGGGAGACACAGAAUCCGAAGCAGGCUCCAGGCUCCGAGCUGUCAGCACAGAACCAGACGCGGGGCUUCAAUUCACCAGCCAUGAGAUCAUGACGCUUAACCAACUGAGCCAGCCAGGCACCCCAUAAAUUUACUUAUAGACAUAUAAGUUAACACCUCACGAAAUCCCAAUGAGCCAAGGAUGGUUUCGCACCCCUGGUGCAAAAGGCUUUCCUUUGAGGAGAUUGCUUUCCUAAAGACCGACUGAGUGAAGAAAUAAAUGCUCUCUUAUGUGUGAAACGCGGUGUUUCUUCGUUCAAAAUGGUGUUUGUUCAAGUGCCUGGCCCGCAUUUGUAACGUAUGUGGGACGCUCACACCACAGCACCAUGAAGAUCACAGAAAAUUAGUCAGCGAUAUAGAAAAGGAGAUUACGACACCUCUCGGGGUGAUGGGCAGGGGUGUGCUAAGUUCCUAGACAUUGGGAAAGCACGGGCUUUGCAAUCUGCUCAUGAACGGCUGUGCCCCUGGCAUCAUCCCGGGGACGGGGAGUCAUCAGGCAAUGUGGGCGCUGAUGCCUGGUUCUCUGCCCGACCUGAGAGAAGAUGUCAGAGUUCAGGCAGAAGCUGGGUCCGUCUGGGACACACCGUACCUGUCCAACAGCGGGGUCUAAAGAUCCCGGCCCUCCCUGUCCCUGCACUGCAGCUCCUGCCCGGAUCUCAGAGACAGUGCAAACCCUCGUAUUAGGCGUAUUGGCUGUGCCCAUCCAUCGAACCGAAGGUCUGAGGCGGUCCUGCUGGCCAACCCUGGUUUGUGCUCAGGCUUUGUUAGUCCCUCUGUGUGUCUGCUCUCAGUUCCUGCAGCCAUUUUCAGUGCACCAUGCGAGUGACGAGCCAAGGAUCCGCGUCUGCAGGCUGCUUAUAGGAAGCUUCUGUCCAAAAGCCCGGCACAGUGUAAGUAGCUUUGCACUGGAAUCAGAAGCUGCCCGAGGUGAGUCCAAAUGGAUGUGACAACAGAGUUCAAAUGAACGUUUAUUUAUAGCUAGUAUGUCCUCUAGCAUUUCUUUCCCCCCCCCAAGCUUUUAAAGGAAAUUUAAAAUUAAAUACUAUUAAUUCACUCAGAAUUGGUACCUGUGUACAAACCAUUGGCAGUUAUCUUUCUUUCACUCUCUUCAUCUUUCCUAGCCACUGAUGCCUGCUGAGCACCAGCCGCGUCUCCAAAAUCCCCUGGAACUGGCCCCAUUCCUGGAUGAGCCCAAAAUAAGCACUUCUCAAACCCACGCUCAAACAGGAGACACAUUUCACACGAAGCAAUGCCCUGAAAUAGUGCUUACCGUGCAGGCAACGAUGGCCAUGUUGCAUAUUUGAGCAUCAAUGCCUGCUCAAACAUUUGCGUUUAAUCGUGAGGGCAGAAGGGAAGCGCUGGCUGCCCUCAGUGGCUGGGCGGGGAAGCGAGCACCCAGGGGCCAUGCGGGCAGCAGACUUGGAGGACAGAGCCCAGGCACAGCCCUGGGGGCUGUCCCGUUGUGGUGGGAAGUGCCCUGUCCCUGCACAAACCCUCUCUGGAUGACAAGCCAGCACGUAAAGGCGCAUUUUUCCCCGGUGCUGUUUUAGACUCAGCCAUCUCUUCAGAAAUGCACCAGCUCUCGGCUUCUUCUGUGUCUGUGUUCCCUUCUCUAGACCAAUCUCCUCCGGUCUCCUUGGAGCCUCUCGACAAUGACCUUGACCCUGACCUUCACCCUGCUCAGUCCCCUUUAAAAUAAAACAAACAAGUAUUUAUUUUACACUUAUUCUUGCGUGGCGACUUAAAGGGCUAGCGGUGUCCUGUCGGCACACUGCCACCAGUGUCUGUGGCCUUCUUGAACCUGUCUUUGCUGCAAGGGGGGCUGUGCUGUGCUCACACUCCUUCUGGGUGGGCGGGGGGGAAUCUGCCUCUCCUCUACUUGACCUUUGGAAUGUCUGCUGUGGCUCUGGUGUCCUGAAGUUCCGCGUGCACGCACACAUGAAUGUAGGCAUGGGCACACGGUCCCCGCAUGUCACACACACGUGCACACGCACGUAUAGACGCGCACACUUUCACCUAUGUUUGUAUUUCCUUUCUAUUUAUUAAUUUUUGAGUUUAUUUAUUUUGAGAGAGACAGAGAGCAAGAGCGUGAGCAGGGAAGGGACAGAGAGGGAGAGAGAAUCCCAAGUAGGAGCCACACUAUCAGCACAGAGCCCGACACGGGGCUCCAACACACGAACCGUGAGAUUGUGACCUGAGCCGAGAUCAAGAGUCGGACGCUUAACCGACUGAGCCAGCCAGGAGCCCCGAGUGUUCUUUUCUUGAAGCUCUGGUCCACGUGUUGUGUGGCUCCGAGUCCUUUUUGCCGUGCUCCGUUGGUCAUGGGUCUCGACACUUGGGACGGCAGACCCACGAUUGCAGGUACGCUUUGCUGUGGGAAGGCUGAGCCUGGCUGGUGCAGGGUGGUCCUGAACCAGACUUGCACUUGCUUCUUCAGGGACUUUUCGGAGUCCCGCCGAGGUGAUCUGCUGGUUCCUUGCAGGGGCGAUUGGGUGGCUUUGGAUCCCUGUUUGGUUGGUGGUUAUAGGUCGGAAACCUCAACCUCCUGUGGCUGUUCCUCAUGGUUCACUUCCCUAGACUACAGAAGAGCCAGGACUUCUGGUGGCUUCUUGGGUUGCAGACAGCAUGCUUGGCCCCACUUUUCAUGGAUGGGGGCACAUCCACCUGGAACUCAGGCUUCCCCUGAGGACAGAGCCCACGGGCCUGAGUCCAGGCCUGCUUCCCGGCGUUCGCGUCUCUUCCUCUCUGCCUCUUGGACCUGGGGUUUUAUU